rnacentral:misc_RNA from 1 species
AACGCAUCUUGCGCUCCUUGGUACUCCGAGGAGCAUGCCUGUUUGAGUGUCAUUAAAUUCUCAACUCUCUUAUACUUUGUUGUGUAGGAGGGCUUGGAUUGUGGAGGUUUGCUGGCAACUUGUUUGCGGUCAGCUCCUCUGAAAUGCAUUAGCGGAACCGUUUGCGAUCUGCCACAAGUGUGAUAAACUAUCUACACUGGCGAGGGGAUUGCUCUCUGUGUUGUUCAGCUUCUAAUCGUCUCAGUUUGAGACAACUUUUUGAAUACUUGACCUCAAAUCAGGUAGGACUACCCGCUGAACUUAA